GGCAGUGACAUGGCAAUGUACUAUAGUACUUCGAUGACGUGUCUGUCUCAUAAUUAUUCAUGAGGCUGUGUGUUCUUAUCCUAUGAGAAGAUGCUGUCUCUUAAUUAUUCAUGACAGCAUGUGGUGCUUUCCUACAGAUGUAGUAGAUAAGUAAGGAGUUCAAAUGGGUCGCAGGUGUUUGUUUCAGUGGUGUAAUAGUUCCAAUGUGUUUAUUUGGGAGAGCUAUGAGAAUUGGAGAAAGGUGGACUUCAGACAUGCUCAUGAAAGCAGUUUGUAUCUACACAACGAUGUGGUACUCAAUCCCGAGGACUUUUCCAUCCCUUCCAAUGAGCCACACACGAUUUUAUGGAGAUACUAGAGAUCCUGAUCUUCUCUGCUCUCCGGACCUGCCUGAUCCGUUUCGGAUGUCCCACCUCUGGAUGGAGCGCUCAUCUACUCCAAUACCAGAUUGCUGGGACUACGGCUGUUUCUAAGGCCAAACAGACUUCAUAUAAAUCCAUAAUGAACUUUUUCACACUAUCUGUUGUUACCCAGAUGAGGACGGGUUCCCUUCUGAGUCGGGUUCCUCUCAAGGUUUCUUCCUCUUAAAACAUCUUAGGGAGUUUUUCCUUGCCACCAUCGCCAGUCAGUGGCUUGCUCAGUUGGGAUAAAUUCGCACCUUUAAUAUCUGUAUACCAUGUUGAUAUUUCUGUAAAGCUGCUUUGAGACAAUGUCUAUUGUAAAAAGCGCUAUACAAAUAAAA